rnacentral:rRNA from 1 species
UAAACUCCAUAGGUCACGAGAUCUGGAAAGACUUGUGGCUCAAAGUUCAGGCGCUCUAGGAUUGGUCUGCGGCCUAUCAGGUAGUAGUGGGUGUAACGGACCCACUAGCCGAUGACGGGUAUGGGCCUUGAGAGAGGGAGCCCAGAGAUGGAUUCUGAGACACGAAUCCAGGCCCUACGGGGCGCAGCAGUCGCGAAAACUUCACAAUGGAGGCAACUCCGAUGAGGGAAUUCCUAGUGCCAAUGCAUUUUGUGUUGGCUUUUCUUCAGCGUAGAUAACUGAUGGAAUAAGGGCUGGGUAAGACGGGUGCCAGCCGCCGCGGUAAUACCCGCAGCCCAAGUGGUGGUCGAUAUUAUUGAGUCUAAAACGUUCGUAGCCGGUUCAAUAAAUCUCUGGGUAAAUCGGAGGGCUCAACCUUCCGAAUUCCGGAGCGACUGUUGAACUUGGGACCGGGAGAGGCAAGAGGUACUUCUGGGGUAGGGGUAAAAUCCUGUAAUCCUACAAGGACCACCGGUGGCGAAGGCGUCUUGCUAGACCGGAUCCGACGGUGAGGGACGAACCCCUGGGUCGCAAACGGGAUUUAAUACCCCGGUAUUCCAAGGGUGUAACGCUGCACAUUGGUGU